rnacentral:rRNA from 1 species
CCUACGGGAGGCAGCAGUGAGGAAUAUUGGUCAAUGGGCGGGAGCCUGAACCAGCCAAGCCGCGUGAGGGAUGACGGUACAGCGUAUUGUAAACUUCUUUUGUCAGGGAAUAAAGUCAGGCACUAGUCCCUUGUUGAAGGUACCUGAAGAAAAAGCAUCGGCUAACUCCGUGCCAGCAGCCGCGGUAAUACGGAGGAUGCGAGCGUUAUCCGGAUUUAUUGGGUUUAAGGGGUGCGCAGGCGGCCUGUUAAGUCAGUGGGAAAAGUCCGGGGCUCAACCCCGGCGAGCCGUUGAAACUGGCAGGCUUGAGUUGGAGAGAAGUAGGCGGAAUGCGCGGUGUAGCGGUGAAAUGCUUAGAUAUCGCGCAGAACCCCGAUUGCGAAGGCAGCUUACCGGCUCCACACUGACGCUGAGGCACGAAAGCGUGGGUAUCGAACAGGAUUAGAUACCCGGGUAGUC